AAAUUGAAGAGUUUGAUCAUGGCUCAGAUUGAACGCUGGCGGCAGGCCUAACACAUGCAAGUCGAACGGUAGCACAGAGAGCUUGCUCUCGGGUGACGAGUGGCGGACGGGUGAGUAAUGUCUGGGAAACUGCCCGAUGGAGGGGGAUAACUACUGGAAACGGUAGCUAAUACCGCAUAACGUCGCAAGACCAAAGUGGGGGACCUUCGGGCCUCACACCAUCGGAUGUGCCCAGAUGGGAUUAGCUAGUAGGUGGGGUAACGGCUCACCUAGGCGACGAUCCCUAGCUGGUCUGAGAGGAUGACCAGCCACACUGGAACUGAGACACGGUCCAGACUCCUACGGGAGGCAGCAGUGGGGAAUAUUGCACAAUGGGCGCAAGCCUGAUGCAGCCAUGCCGCGUGUAUGAAGAAGGCCUUCGGGUUGUAAAGUACUUUCAGCGAGGAGGAAGGCGUUGUGGUUAAUAACAACAGCGAUUGACGUUACUCGCAGAAGAAGCACCGGCUAACUCCGUGCCAGCAGCCGCGGUAAUACGGAGGGUGCAAGCGUUAAUCGGAAUUACUGGGCGUAAAGCGCACGCAGGCGGUUUGUUAAGUCAGAUGUGAAAUCCCCGGGCUCAACCUGGGAACUGCAUUUGAAACUGGCAAGCUUGAGUCU
rnacentral:rRNA from 1 species